rnacentral:rRNA from 1 species
CGCGCAGGCGGCCAAGUCAGUCGAAUGUGAAAGCCCCCGGCUCAACUGGGGAGGGUCAUUCGAUACUGCUCGGCUCGAAGACAGGAGAGGGAAGUGGAAUUCCCGGUGUAGUGGUGAAAUGCGUAGAUAUCGGGAGGAACACCAGUGGCGAAGGCGACUUUCUGGCCUGUUCUUGACGCUGAGGCGCGAAAGCUAGGGGAGCAAACG